rnacentral:rRNA from 1 species
CGUAGGCGGCUGGAUAAGUCAGAUGUGAAAUCCCACGGCUUAACUGUGGAAGUGCAUUUGAAACUGUCCGGCUUGAGUAUCGGAGGGGAGUGUGGAAUUCCCGGUGUAGAGGUGAAAUUCGUAGAGAUCGGGAGGAACACCGGUGGCGAAGGCGACACUCUGGACGCAUACUGACGCUGAGGCGCGAAAGCGUGGGGAGCAAACA